GUCAGGAUUGGCUAGUUAACUGAUACCUAGAAAAAGAGUCCAGAGACAAGAGCCCAAAGAAAGGUGGUUCUCUAAUUAGAUCCAUUGCGAAAGUAUGGGGACCCUUUCACUGAUCUUACCCUUAUCGGACUAGUUGGCUAGUUGGUUUCUGACUUGGAGGGCUCCAAGGCGGUCUUGGCAGUUAGGAGCUGUCUAGAAUUAGAGUA
rnacentral:lncRNA from 1 species